rnacentral:rRNA from 1 species
UACGAAGGGGGCUAGCGUUGUUCGGAAUCACUGGGCGUAAAGGGCGCGUAGGCGGCUUUGUAAGUCGGGGGUGAAAGCCUGUGGCUCAACACAGAAUUGCCUUCGAUACUGCAUGGCUUGAGACCGGAAGAGGUAAGUGGAACUGCGAGUGUAGAGGUGAAAUUCGUAGAUAUUCGCAAGAACACCAGUGGCGAAGGCGGCUUACUGGUCCGGUUCUGACGCUG